CCGCGGGGCCGUUGGCCGCAGCCAGGUGAGGGGCCCAGGGCUCCCGAGCGGCCUGGCGCGGACGGACGAGGACAGCUGGGAACAUGGAUCAGAAGACGAUGAGAUCAGCAGCCCUCAAGACAGGAGAAAUUUGCAAGUUGCAGCUGUAAGAGUUUGGUGGUGCUGAGCACCUGCAGUUGCCCCACGGUGUAAUUCCCAGCUGGCAGCCUCGGAUUCUGCUCGCUGGAAUUGCCCGUCUUGUCUCUCCUCUGCCAGUUCAGGCACGUCGGUCAAAAUGAGGCCACUGGGCUCUGUCUCUAGAGCAGUGUCAUGAAAAAUUUGUCCCAUUCUCAAUCUGAAGCAACCCAUUGACAGCCAUAGGAUUCCUGCUACACCUAAAAAGUACUGACAUCCCCAAAGCUCUUACCAUCUUUGCCAGAAAAAUAAAAAACCAUAACCCAACCUGUUCCUGUAAGGAGACCAGCAGCAUCCAUGUAACACCCCGGCUGAAAGAAUUAACCCUCUCUUCUAUUAUUUGCUCUAUUAAUGGUGAUUUGUUUAAACAUUGGAUUUAAUUCCCUAAGAAG